rnacentral:rRNA from 1 species
AGAGUUUGAUCAUGGCUCAGAUUGAACGCUGGCGGCAGGCUUAACACAUGCAAGUCGAACGGUAACAGGAAGAAGCUUGCUUCUUUGCUGACGAGUGGCGGACGGGUGAGUAAUGUCUGGGAAACUGCCUGAUGGAGGGGGAUAACUACUGGAAACGGUAGCUAAUACCGCAUAACGUCGCAAGACCAAAGAGGGGGACCUUCGGGCCUCUUGCCAUCGGAUGUGCCCAGAUGGGAUUAGCUAGUAGGUGGGGUAACGGCUCACCUAGGCGACGAUCCCUAGCUGGUCUGAGAGGAUGACCAGCCACACUGGAACUGAGACACGGUCCAGACUCCUACGGGAGGCAGCAGUGGGGAAUAUUGCACAAUGGGCGCAAGCCUGAUGCAGCCAUGCCGCGUGUAUGAAGAAGGCCUUCGGGUUGUAAAGUACUUUCAGCGGGGAGGAAGGGAGUAAAGUUAAUACCUUUGCUCAUUGACGUUACCCGCAGAAGAAGCACCGG